AGAGUUUGAUCCUGGCUCAGGAUGAACGCUGACAGAAUGCUUAACACAUGCAAGUCGAUGGGGAAGUGGUGCUUGCACCAUGGUAACCAUGGCGGACGGGUGAGUAACGCGUAAGGAACUUGCCUGCGGGACCGGGAUAACAGCAGGAAACUGCUGACAAGACCGGAUAAGGUCAUUAAGCCGCAUAGCUUAGUGAUGAAAGGAGACGCCUGCGGAGAGCCUUGCGUCCUAUUAGCUAGUUGGAGGGGUAACGGCCCACCAAGGCGAAGAUAGGUAGCCGGCCUGAGAGGGUGGACGGCCACAAGGGGACUGAGAUACGGCCCUUACUCCUACGGGAGGCAGCAGUGGGGAAUAUUGGACAAUGGGGGCAACCCUGAUCCAGCAAUUCUGUGUGCACGAAGACGGUUUUCGGAUUGUAAAGUGCUUUCAGCAGGGAAGAAGUAAGUGACGGUACCUGCAGAAGAAGCGACGGCUAAAUACGUGCCAGCAGCCGCGGUAAUACGUAUGUCGCGAGCGUUAUCCGGAAUUAUUGGGCAUAAAGGGCAUCUAGGCGGCCUUUCAAGUCAGGGGUGAAAACCUGCGGCUCAACCGCAGGCCUGCCUUUGAAACUGAUAGGCUGGAGUACCGGAGAGGUGGACGGAACUGCACGAGUAGAGGUGAAAUUCGUAGAUAUGUGCAGGAAUGCCGAUGAUGAAGAUAGUUCACUGGACGGUAACUGACGCUGAAGUGCGAAAGCCGGGGGAGCAAACAGGAUUAGAUACCCUGGUAGUCCCGGCCGUAAACGAUGAUUACUGGGUGUGGGCAGGAAGACUGUCUGUGCCGAAGCGAAUGCGAUAAGUAAUCCGCCUGGGGAGUACGGCCGCAAGGCUGAAACUCAAAGGAAUUGACGGGGACCCGCACAAGCGGUGGAGCAUGU
rnacentral:rRNA from 1 species